rnacentral:rRNA from 1 species
UGGGGAAUAUUGGUCAAUGGGCGAAAGCCUGAACCAGCAAUGCCGCGUGAGUGAUGAAGGCCUUCGGGUUGUAAAGCUCUGUCAGAAGGAAAGAAAAAACCGGUUAACACCCGGUCUUGACGGUACCUUCAAAGGAAGCACCGGCUAACUCUGUGCCAGCAGCCGCGGUAAUACAGAGGGUGCAAGCGUUGUUCGGAAUUACUGGGCGUAAAGCGCGUGUAGGCGGCUUUUCAAGUCGGACGUGAAAUCCCUCGGCUCAACUGAGGAACUGCGUCCGAUACUGCUAAGCUAGAGUGUCGGAGGGGGUGGCGGAAUUCCCGGUGUAGAGGUGAAAUUCGUAGAUAUCGGGAGGAACACCUGUGGCGAAGGCGGCCACCUGGAAGACAACUGACGCUGAGACGCGAAAGCGUGGGGAGCAAACAGG